ACAAAAAUCAUACUCUUAAAUAACAGGUGGUUAAAGUAGAAAUCACGAUCUCGGAAGCUAAGCAGGGUCGGGCCUGGUUAGUACUUGGAUGGAAGACCACCUAGGAAGACCAGGUGCUGUA
ensembl:rRNA 5S_rRNA 5S ribosomal RNA